rnacentral:misc_RNA from 1 species
AGACUGUUGAUGCAUCAGCCCUCUGUAACAUUGACAACAAGUAUCAAGUCAAGAAGCUAGAAAAUCGACAGAAUGAUAGAUAUGACAUGUAAAGAUAAGCAACCACAUAAACAAAUAUAAGAGGAGAAAGAAGAAAUCCGUGUAUUUACUUGUCACUAAAAGAUAAACAACAAUAACAAAUAAUUACAAUGAUAAAUUCAUAAUGAACUGACAAGGAAGAAGAACAAAGUAAAAUUUCGAUAAUAAAAUCUGUACAGCCAGAAGCCAGACAAGAACAUGAUAACAAUGUUCUACUUCAAGGUAUAAAAUGAAAAUUAAUAAAGACGAUUUCUAUUUGCUUCAUAAAAGCAUAAAAUGCCUAAUUUCUACAAUAAUAGCUGCGCUUCUUCUUUUUUCCCCUGAACUGCCUGUUUAUUUUCUUCAUUCAGAACAUGUCAUAAACUAACCAGCAACAGGAAGCCCAAAUUAUAGUAGUACUGAAUACAAAAUCAACACUGUAAAAUGGUUUGCAGGUUCUAUAAAUAACAUUCUUCUGGCCCAGAAAAAUGGGUUACCAACCAGGAAGCCUCAACACAAGAAACAACAGUAACUUUUCCAGCCCAUAAACCUUAAUUUUAUGCUUUAAAUAGCAAUGACAAACAUACAAAUCUCUACCAGAAAUAUUUUACCUAGAAAUUUAAUAAAAAUUCCCGAUGCUCAGUAUGCUAACAAAAGAAAAAUUAACUACUGGAUAAGAAGCAUGUAGCCAUUUCCUCUACUAGUUUUUUACCCAAUCAAAUUCAUCAUGCUCAUUAAUCUCAAACAUAAAAAUUUAAGAAUGCCCAAAUAAGUACAAACUUUGUAUUCAUAUACCAAUUCAUGUUCAAAAUAAUCCUUUAUAAGCUUCAAUAAAAAGGCAAGCAAUAACAUCACCGUAUAAGCAAACACAAGUAAUGGACAAUGGCGUAUGGAACCUGUAAUUUCUUCAUUAUUUCUGUUGCAACUCUACCUCUAUGCACAUUCAAUUCGCAUACCAUAAAUAACCAUUAAUCAGAACGUGAAACAUUCAUCACCAUCUAACUGGAGAAAGGAAAAAUAAUAAACUAGUCUAAAGAAGAGAAAA